GAGAUAAAUAGUUGGGAGCUAGAGCUCGCUAGAGAGUCUAAGAUUGAGCUAAAUAUUUCCUGAUCUCUCGAGAAAGGGGGAGGGGAGUGGGAGGAUUAAAUGUUCCUUCCUUCAGGGCAGUGGUUAGGCUUUCUCUCCACCAAAAUCUAACUUUAGCUGUAAAGAAGACUGCAGUUAUGUAGUACUUUGUAUCCAGGGAUCUCAAAGAACUUUACGCAUCAUUUAUUGUGAACCUUGUUUUGCAAAGAUUUCAGUUACUUGAGGCUUGGGAGGCGGAUAGGGGAUAAAUGUCUGAGUUAUAUAUAUAUUUACGCAAGUAAUCGAGUUUGAGGGGAGAGACACAAAACCUCUGGUUUAGCGGUUUCCUCUUGUUUGUGAAGCACCUUCUAGCAGUUAUCUUAGAGAUGUAAGUUCAUUUACUUGUCCAGCACUAAAAGGCCAAAGGGGCUUGUUUUCUCACCCAAAAGACCUUCCUGAGGCAGCUGUUCGGAUACAUGCAGAGCACAGCGCCCUGCUCAGAAAGGAAGGUUCAGAGAACAAAUUGUCGUUUAAAACUAUUGGGACAAACCUACCUCUUCUAAAGCUUAAAAUGGUCUCCAGCGUACCAGGAUUUGUGAAGGCCUGAAGUUCGUAGAAUGAAAUCUAUGUGGAGAUGAUUUAAAAGAACGGUUUCACUGCUAAAAUCCUUUCGAAAUGAGUUCCUUUAAGUUCUUCAGUAACUAAAUCCUCCAGAAAGGAAAGCCGAGAGAAUCUAGUCCUAUACAAUAACACCCUCUAACAAAGAUCGCUAAAGGAAGAUUUUAGUAGAUGAAUAUCUUCAAUAAUACAUGGUCACAUACAUGUAUCUGACCAUAUGAUGGCUCUCUGCACCAAAUUCCUCCAAACUAUUAUAAUAUGUAUUGUCUGUAGUGCUAUUUAUUUGGCAGUUAAUCAUGUAUUACAUUGUGACAUUUCUUACAGUGAACCAUUAUGUAUGUGUUUAUGUUCUGCCCUCAACUACUCAAUGCCAGUACCUUAUUCUUAACACAGCAACCACCCUUUCUGGUCUGUCCUCACACCCUCAUUCCCAUCAUAGUUAUUCUCCUCUCUCAUGGAAAUGUUCAGUUUCUGGACAUCUCCUUUCUCUUCCAUUCUUCACCUGACCUUCCUUCCUUUCUUGGCCAGCCUGAAUAUUAUAAAGGGAAUUUUAUUUCAAACCCAGGAUCGCACUUAAGAGGAAAAGAAACAAAAGCCAGUUCUUUUUAUUGCACAUAGAACAAGGAGAAACUCCACCCCUUUUGUUGUCUGGUAUGUUUAAAACAAGAAAGAACUUUAGAAAAGUAGGAUAUGAGUGAAAAUUACAACCAAUGUUGAGAACUACUUUUUAAUUUUUUAUUACAAAAUUAGGAUGAUACUUCAUUAAACAUUGUACAUCAUUUCAAAACUGUUAUCUCAUAAUCAUGUUGCUUGUUUUGAAUUAUUCUUUUAAAGUGUAAUUUUUUUAAGCAAAGAAUCCAUAAAAUUACAUGGCUUGGAUGUACCAUAACUUACUUAAUCCUUAUGCUAUUGUUUAAUAUGUGGGUUGUUUCAGAUUUUUCAUGAUUGUAAAUAACAAAAUAAACUUCCUUAUACUUAA
rnacentral:lncRNA from 1 species